UGUAAGCGUAUACCAAAGUUGUUGCAGUUAAAACGCUCGUAGUCGGAAUUUGGCAGUUCCGGAUGUGUGCACGUCGUGUGCGCACUUCGCGGGGAUUGCUUUUGUGGUCUUGCGUAGGAUGAGGCACUUUUAUUAGUGAACGUCCUCACGCAACCACUUUUUACUGUGAGAAAAUCAGAGUGCUCAAAGCAGGCAUUUGCCGUGAAUGUAUUAGCAUGGAAUAAUAGAAUAGGACUUGGUUCUGUUUUGUUGGUUUGUUGGGACUGAGUAAUGAUUAAGAGGGACAGUUGGGGGCAUUUGUAUUUCGGUGCUAGAGGUGAAAUUCUUAGAUUACCGAAAGACAAACUGCUGCGAAAGCGUCUGCCAAGGAUGUUUUCAUUGA
rnacentral:rRNA from 1 species